rnacentral:lncRNA from 1 species
CGUUUAAACUUUAAAGCGAACAUCUUUUUUUAAAAAAAAGAAACAACAAUGCGAAUAGCCAAUAUCGAUUGACUUGCUCAUCUAAUCUUCUCGGGACAGGUGCAAACUUAGCAGCCUGGUCAAAUCUACACUACAGAAACGAAAACCACUAGACUACAUGGUUUUGACGUCCAUCUUAUUGCACAGGUGACGAAACGAAAUGCAGUAUGGAGUAUGGACGUCGUCGUCAAUAUCUGAUUUCGCAUGUAUGGUUCUGUCGACAUCUAAGGAUUUAGUGGCUCAUCUUCCCCGAUCAUUUCUUGUGCUUCUGCAAGGAAUGUUACCCUAAGGUUAGCAAUGAAAAAAAUGAACCUGAUUUUCUCCAGUUUAUCAGAGAUACCAAUUUAAGCCUUCAUUGGCGCAGGAUUGCUGGAACAGAAGAAAGGGAAUCAGAAUAUCACGUACUAGUUGAUGAUUUGUGUACUUGAUCAGAGACAACCAUCAGCCGUCUCUGCAAGAUUGCUGCCAUGA